UAUAAUCUGACUAAAGGGGGAUAUUUUUGAAACUUGUAAAACAUCAAAAUAAAAAGGAGGUGGGGCUGCAUAACCAAGAGGAGGUCUGGGAUUGUGUCGUUCUCUCGUGAUCGGCGUUGAUUGGGACGAAAUUGAGAAGAUGAAAAACCUGGUUCUAUCAUCAUUCUAUGAUUCCUAAUCCUUUUGGGACUUAAUAAAGAUAUAUGGUGCAAAUCAAGACUGCAAGGUAUUGUUUGGCCAAGGUCCAGCUGAUGUGAUUGAUGACUGAAGAGAGCAAGUCAUGUGGACUAACGAGGCCACCCUAGGUCUUUAUGAUAUCGAAUGGAAGAGUGAUUACUCUAGAUUCCGAGGAUUCCGGAUUAUGUGAUUGAAAGCCGAUGUGAUCAAGUCCAGGGAGUGGGUCACUGACGUUUAAGAUCGCAUGGUUUAAUGUGUAUCAUUGUUAAAUUUCUCUUCGGUUCAUAUUUUUAAAGGUUGUGAAUUAGAGUUUAACUGAGUAAAUUGUUAGCUAAAAGGUCUUGUGUCAAUGGUGCAUUGAGUCAUGUGUAUUUUGUUGAGUGUCUUGAUUGCUAAACAGGUUCAUUACCAUAACGAGUACCUUUAUU
rnacentral:lncRNA from 1 species